AUUGAACGCUGGCGGCAGGCUUAACACAUGCAAGUCGAGCGGGGUGAUGGUGCUUGCACUAUCACUUAGCGGCGGACGGGUGAGUAAUGCUUAGGAAUCUGCCUAUUAGUGGGGGACAACAUCUCGAAAGGGAUGCUAAUACCGCAUACGUCCUACGGGAGAAAGCAGGGGAUCACUUGUGACCUUGCGCUAAUAGAUGAGCCUAAGUCGGAUUAGCUAGUUGGUGGGGUAAAGGCCUACCAAGGCGACGAUCUGUAGCGGGUCUGAGAGGAUGAGCCGCCACACUGGGACUGAGACACGGCCCAGACUCCUACGGGAGGUAGCAGUGGGGAAUAUUGGACAAUGGGGGGAACCCUGAUCCAGCCAUGCCGCGUGUGUGAAGAAGGCCUUAUGGUUGUAAAGCACUUUAAGCGAGGAGGAGGCUCUUUUGGUUAAUACCCAAGAUGAGUGGACGUUACUCGCAGAAUAAGCACCGGCUAACUCUGUGCCAGCAGCCGCCGUAACAC
rnacentral:rRNA from 1 species